GUGGGGAAUAUUGGGCAAUGGAGGAAACUCUGACCCAGCGACGCCGCGUGAGGGAUGAAGGCCUUCGGGUUGUAAACCUCUUUCAGUAGGGAAGAAGCGAAAGUGACGGUACCUACAGAAGAAGCACCGGCUAACUAUGUGCCAGCAGCCGCGGUAAUACAUAGGGUGCAAGCGUUGUCCGGAAUUAUUGGGCGUAAAGAGCUCGUAGGUGGUUCGAUACGUCGGAUGUGAAAAUCAGGGGCUCAACCCCUGACCUGCAUCCGAUACGGUCGAGCUAGAGUUUGGUAGGGGAGACUGGAAUUCCUGGUGUAGCGGUGGAAUGCGCAGAUAUCAGGAGGAACACCGAUGGCGAAGGCAGGUCUCUGGGCCAAUACUGACACUGAGGAGCGAAAGCGUGGGGAGCGAA
rnacentral:rRNA from 1 species